GAUGAACGCUAGCUACAGGCUUAACACAUGCAAGUCGAGGGGAAACGACAUCGAAAGCUUGCUUUUGAUGGGCGUCGACCGGCGCACGGGUGAGUAACGCGUAUCCAACCUGCCCACCACUUGGGGAUAACCUUGCGAAAGUAAGACUAAUACCCAAUGACGUCUCUAGAAGACAUCUGAAAGAGAUUAAAGAUUUAUCGGUGAUGGAUGGGGAUGCGUCUGAUUAGCUUGUUGGCGGGGUAACGGCCCACCAAGGCAACGAUCAGUAGGGGUUCUGAGAGGAAGGUCCCCCACAUUGGAACUGAGACACGGUCCAAACUCCUACGGGAGGCAGCAGUGAGGAAUAUUGGUCAAUGGGCGAGAGCCUGAACCAGCCAAGUAGCGUGCAGGAUGACGGCCCUAUGGGUUGUAAACUGCUUUUAGGCGGGGGUAAAGGGGCGGACGUGUUCCGCCUUUGCAAGUACCGCCAGAAAAAGGACCGGCUAAUUCCGUG
rnacentral:rRNA from 1 species